rnacentral:ncRNA from 1 species
UUGAUAGAGGCGCGAUAUUCAUCAGUACCGGGUUUUGCCGUUUACGGCUGCGCAGGCACGCAGCUUCGGAAAAGGGGAUGUCGCCGAAACAAAAUCGUAUUGCCUUGUGCGCUUUUGUUGGGACGCAGCAGAAUAUGCGGCGGACUGUCACUGUUGUGGAGCGCUAUCGGG